rnacentral:rRNA from 1 species
GAUGAACGCUGGCGGCGUGCCUAACACAUGCAAGUCGAGCGAACGGACGAGAAGCUUGCUUCUUUGUCGUUAGCGGCGCACGGGUGUGUCACAUGUGGAUAACCUACUUAUAUUACUGGGAUAACUUCGGGAAACCGUAGCUAAUACCGGAUAAUCUUUUGAACCGCAUGGUUCAAAAGUGAAAGACGGUCUUGCUGUCUCUUAUAGAUGGUUCCGCGCUGCCUUAGCUAGUUGGUAAGUUCACGGCUUAUCAAGGCUACGAUGCAUAGCCGACCUCUGAGACUGAUCGCCCACACUAGAGCUGAGACACCGUCCAGACUCCUAAGGGAGGCAGCAGUAUCGUAUCGUCCGCAGUAGGCGGAAGCAUGACGGAGCGGCCCCGCGUGAGUGAUAACGGUCUUCGGUGCGUAAUUCCCUGUUACUAGGGAAGAACAUAUUUGUAAGUAAACGUACACUUCUUGACGGUACUGAAUAAAAAAGCCCCGGCUAACUACGUG